rnacentral:misc_RNA from 1 species
CAGAGUUGCAAAACUCCCCAAACCAUUGUGAACCUUGCCUUCAACCGUUGCUUCGGCGGGCGGGCCACAGCGCCCCCCGGGCCCCCCCAGCGGGGCGCCCGCCGGAGGAUACCCAAACUCUUGAUACUUUAUGGCCUCUCUGAGUCUUCUGUACUGAAUAAGUCA